GUCUACAGCCAUGCCACCCUGAAUAAGCCCCAUCUUGUCUGAUCUCGGAAGCUAAGCAGGGUUGGGCCUGGUUAGUACUUGAAUGGGAGACCACCUAGGAAGACCAGGUGCUGUAGGUA
rfam:Pteropus alecto contig35493, whole genome shotgun sequence.